GGCGGCGCCCUGGAGACCCGAAACCGGGGUGGGGGCGGGGAGGAGGAGGGGCCCGGCCCGCUUAGUCACGCUUCCAGACGAGAGGGUCCGGAGCGCCCCGCCUUCCGGGCCCGGGGUCCUGAACCGCGGACAGGCUGCGUGGGGCCGGGGCUCUGAGACGCGACUCGACGCGCCGCGCCUCCCUCUCCCCGGGCGAGGCCUUGGGUGCCCGCCGACCGUGGGCUGCUUCUUCCAUCCCGGGACCCACGCCAGUCCCCUGGGCUCUGCCGGCCCCACCUUCUCUCUGUAAGAGCGGGGAGUGGUCUGGAUCACGUCGCUGUCCCCUCCCCCAGGCUGGGCUGUCAUCACCGUUGGCGACCCGCCUUCGGGGCCUUUAUAGCCGGAGGCCUUAGCCCUGCAAGGUCCACCGCCACAGAGCGCAUUGAGUGUCAGGGCUUGGGGGCGGAACCCACCAGGGCAUCUACCAUUUUGCUUGUGAAAUUAUCUGGGUAUGCGUAGCUCUUUGCUUGGCAAUGUGAGUGUUUAGUUUUUUAAUUCAUUGUUACACUCAGGAAUUCUUACAAAGUGUGGGGGGUAUUUUCCUCGUGUGAUGAAAUGACUUUGGAAGUUACACUUAACAGCGGAUGGAGCACAGCGGAUGGAGCUGACAUCGUGAGGUGCUACAUGCACGUUUAACGAAGCCUUUGGAUUUUCCUGUUUCCUUCUUUUGGAGCCACUAACAUGUUUUGUUUUGUUGACUGAAGAGCCUGCAGCCUGGUGCCUGUGGGGCUGGAGGGCAGCUGGGCCCCUGUAAGGCCCGCGGUGGAGGUGGGUUAGGACGCGGCCCCAAACGGGUAUAUCCACUGUGUGCCCGGUCGUGCAGUUUUCUCUUCCAAGGACGCAAGGCGCAGAAGCCGCUGGGGAAGACAGUCCAGAGUCUGCUGGGUUGACACGGGGUGAAAACGUAAUUGAAAAUCUUGAGCAAAAGUGGGAUUGUUUUUGCUUUGAGGGAAGCAGCGUCGGACGCUGUGGGAAGCCUGGCGCCCCAGGCCCACCUCGAGUAUGGGGGAGAGAGAGGUCUGUGUGGUCUUGUGGUAUGCUUUUCAUGCGUUCAGAAUAUGAUUUUCAUUAAAAUGGCAAGAUCAGUACUGUCAGAUUAGGAACGACUGUCUGCUAGUCUUUCAGAAGUUGCUGGAAGUUACGCUCUCUGUGUGUUAAACGUUAUGUCUAGACUCGCAGCUCGUUCGCUUGAUGUUCCGCUCAGCUCUGCCCACGCUGGCUGUCCAUCUCCCGGAACUGCAUUUCCAGGUUACACACAAGAUGCAGCCUGAACUCCUGGUCAGUCACACGUUUCCAAAGAUGGAAGGAAAGCAGCUGCUUGUAGGGAGGAGGAGGCCUUAAAGACUGGGUGUGUAGGAGCCAGGUUCCUGCUAAAAGUCAGCCAACGAAAGCCACCCCCCAUAAAUGCCUGACCGCAGCCUCUGAAGGGAGCCGAGGGAUCUCCCCCAUCCUGGCUCUCCCCCGAAGCUGUAGCCUGGCUUUGCUCCAUUGUCCAUCCAAGGGCAGGAACGGAUGGACAGCCUGUGAAAAGGCAUUUGAAAACAUCUGGUGUCUGCAGCAUCUGGAUGGAGGAGCUGUGCCCUGCUCUGAACGGCCGCUCAGCCCGGGGCAGCCGCUGUCCCUGUCCUCCAGGAGCUCACUUACCUCCGGCCGUGCGCUCCUUGAGGCCAGAGCCCGUGUCUGCCUCAGCACCGGCACCGGCAGCAGCAGCGGCAGCUCUGCAGGGCACCGGGCCCGUCACCCACGGCCCACAGCGCUCGCAGCGUCCCUGCUUGCGUGGCCCAGCCGCUCGCUGGGUUGAUCAGAGCAGCGUCCUGCGUUGUGUGCAUGCUUUCUGAAGUUGUUUGGAAUUGGGUUGGUUUUUUUUGGCGGAGCUGCGAGACUUGUGGGAUCUCAGUCCCCUGACCGGGGAUUGAACCCAGGCCGCAGCAAUGAAAGCCCGGAAUCCUAACCGCUAGGCCACCAGGGAACUCCCUGGAAUUGGUCUAGUUUUAAUCAGAGUACUGCAAAUAAAAUGAAGAGGGUACA